UACGUAGGGGGCAAGCGUUGUUCGGAUUUACUGGGCGUAAAGCGCACGUAGGCGGGUUGUUAAGUCAGGGGUGAAAUCCUGGAGCUCAACUCCAGAACUGCCUUUGAUACUGGCAACCUAGAGGCUGGAAGAGGUUAGUGGAAUUCCCAGUGUAGAGGUGAAAUUCGUAGAUAUUGGGAAGAACACCAGUGGCGAAGGCGGCUAACUGGUCCAGAUCUGACGCUGAGGUGCGAAAGCGUGGGGAGCAAACAGG
rnacentral:rRNA from 1 species